rnacentral:lncRNA from 1 species
CAAACAGCUUUUUAUGGAGAAACAAUAUUUUAAUUGUCGGCUUUUACCCUCAAAAGGAAACAGAACUCAGCAUCUUUGUUCACAUCUUAUUGGAUUAAUUGAAUACUUUUAGAUGUUUCCCUAAGGAACCAGCUAAAGGAGACAGAGUAUAACUGCCCAGGUAGCCUUCUCUGGUGUUGCUGAAAAGCCACUUUGCAAAGUAGCUUUAUAAAGUUCUUAGAAUUCAUCCCAAGUUCAGCAUGACUUUAUUCUCACGAGGGUUGCAGAUGAACAUAUAAAUAUAUACUACUCAGUCUCCAGCAUUUGGGUGUCAUUUUAAUGCAUAUUUACAUAUAUUUAAUGCAUCCUAAGAUUCACUGCAAGAAUCUGAGGUCUACGUCAGUUCUGUAUCCAGUGAGUAACUACGACAAAAAUGGAGAAUCUGCAUAGUAACUGAAUAAAUGAAAUUUGUGGCUCUCUUUAAUCUUCUGCUUUGAUCAUUUCUGUUCUGUGCACACUGAACUCAGUCUUUUUUUUUAAAGUACAGAUUUAACAGAAAGAGUUAUCACAGGUUUAUGGCAAGCAGUUGGAACUGUUCUGGCACAGGAUAAUUCAGAAGUCCAUCUCUCCUUCAGGAUUAAACUCUCCACUGUUUCUCAGUCCAAAAGAGUAGCUUGUAUUUUCUGCUCUGCAGAAACUUCAUGUGAAGCUCCUGUAGACAUCUCUGCACCCUCCUCACAUAGGAACUUUCCAUUAUUUUACUCUCCC